rnacentral:lncRNA from 1 species
AUGGGGAAGGAAAACAAAAUAACAGAUGGAUCAUCAGAUACAUUUGAAUAUGUGGAAAAUUGUAUCAAGAGGCUGUUAGAGAAUACGGGAAGAAGUAAUCUUAGAAACAAAGAAGCUAAACAUGAAAAUACAAGAGACAGAGGAUGGCACAAUGGUCUCACAUGCUCAGGAAGGUUUGAAAUGUGGGGUUAAGCACACUAACAUGGAAGUUGAAACUCUUGGGUCCAAAUCCUGGCUUUUCUAGUUACCAGCCUGGUGCAUCAGUUUACUCAUCUGUUAAAAGCAGAGGAUGAUGAUGAUAAUGAAGAUGAUGAUGAAAAUGAAGAUGAUGGUACCCAUCUCCUCAGGUUGACGAAAGGUGAACUGAAUUGACACAGUGAGAACAGAGUACACUGGACUCACUCAUGAAGUAUGUUAGCUGCUAUGGUCAUGCUUUCCCUCUUUGUUUUCUGUGUAGCUAGUGAUGGAAAUAUCAAGCCUUCCAACAAGACUGUCCCUUACCAUAUUUUCUUUCUUUUGUUAGCCUUUAGAUUUUUUUCUGAUUAUAAAGGUUAUACAUGUUCAAGGCAAACCACUUAUAAAAUGUAGAAAGACAAGGCGGGGCGCGGUGGCUUACACCUGUAAUCCCAGCACUUUGGGAGGCUGAGGUGGGCGGAUCACCAGGUCAGGAGAUCAAGACCAUCCUGGCUAACACGGUGAAACCCCGUCUGUACUAAAAAUACAAAACAAAAAGUAGCCGGGCUGGUGGCCGGCGCCUGUAGUCCCAGCUACUCGGGAGGCUGAGGCAGGAGAAUGGUGUGAACCCGGGAGGCAGAGAUGGCACCACCACACUCCAGCCUGGGUGACAGAGCAAGACUCCAUCUCAAAAAAAAAAAAAAAAAAAGUAGAAAGACAAAAAGAAAACAAUGAAAACACACAUCAUAUUACCGCCCCCAGUGAUACUGUGAAUAUUUUUAUGUAUUUCCUUCCAGGAAAUAGAUAUUUAUAGUCAUUAGUAUAGUAUGUAAAAAUGAGAGCCUAUUAAAAUGUGCAGCAGUCACUUGUAGAAACCAAAGGAAAAAAAAAUCUGUGUUUGAAAUCUGUUUGUUGCCUGUCCAAGUGCUCACUGCAGCUCACCGGUGUGUUAUGGAGCACAGGUUCUUAAAACUAGUGCCGGGAGGGCUGGGCGCGGUGGCUCAAGCCUGUAAUCCCAGCACUUUGGGAGGCCGAGACGGGCGGAUCACGAGGUCAGGAGAUCGAGACCAUCCUGGCUAACACGGUGAAACCCCGUCUCUACUAAAAAAUACAAAAAACUAGCCGGGCGCGGUGGCGGGCGCCUGUAGUCCCAGCUACUCGGGAGGCUGAGGCAGGAGAAUGGCGUAAACCCGGGAGGCGGAGCUUGCAGUGAGCUGAGAUCUGGCCACUGCACUCCAGCCUGGGCGACAAAGCGAGACUCUGUCUCAACAACAACAACAAAAAAAAAAAAACUAGUGCCGGGCUUACAGCAUCACUUGGGAGCUUGUGAGAAGUUCAAACUCCCUGGCUGCACCUGCUGAGUCAGAGAGCCUGGGGUGGGCCCAGCAAUCUGUAUUUUAACAAGCUCUCCAGAGGAUUUUGAAGUCUGUUCAAAUUUGAGAACCAUUCUUAGAAAUCAAAGUUCUAGCCCAGGUGUGGUGGCUCAUGCCUAUAAUCCCAGCACUUUGGGAGGCCCAGGCAGGUGGAUCACAUAAGCCCAGGAGUUUGAGACCAGCCUGGGCAACAUAGUGAGACUCCAUCCCUACAAAAAAUAUGUGUAAAAAAAAUUAGCUGGACAUGGUGGCACAUACCCGUAGUCCUAGCUACCUGGAAGGCUGAGAUGGGAGAAUCACCUGAGCCUGGGAAGUCAAGGCUGUAGUGAGCUGUGAUCACACCACUGCACUCCAGCAUGAAUGACAGAUUAAGAUCCUGUCUCGAAAGAAAGAAAAGGAAUAAAAGGGGUCAGGCAUGGUGGCUCAUGCCUGUAAUCCCAGCACUUUGGGAGGCCGAGGGCGGUGGAUCACGAGGUCAGGAGUUUGAGACCAGCCUGACCUACAUGGUGAAACCCCAUCUCUACUAAAAAUACAAAAAUUAGCCGGGCGUGGAGGCACGCACCUAUAAUCCCAUCUACUUGGGAGGCUGGGGCAGGAGAAUGGCUUGAACCUGGGUGGUGGAGGUUGUAGUGCGCUGAGAUCAUGCCACUACACUCCAGCCUGGGUGACAGGGUGAGACUCCAUCUCAAAAAAUAUAAAAUAAACUAAAAUAAAAGGAAGGAAGGAAGGGAGGAAGGGAGGAAGGAAGGAAGGAAGGAAGGAAGGAAAGAAGGAAGGAAGGAAAGAAAGAAAGAAGGAAAGAAAAGAAAGAAAGAAAAAGAAAGUCAAAGUUCUGGAAUUAUUCUCACAAGUUAAACAAUAGUUUAAGAAACUCUUGCUCUCUAAGGUCUCACAAGUUUUAAGCCAUGCAUUUAAAAUAGAUGCUGCCAAAAAAGAAUGAACCCUGGGGAAAACAUUCUACUUGCUACACUGAGACACCAUGUUAAAGACAGCAUUAUUUUAAAUGUCUCUGGACUGCUUUUAAAAAGAACUUUGGGUCAUGCAUCUAAUUCCCUUCUAACUUCUAAAAUGGAAAGUAGUUUCCUAUAGUUGGCAUCUAUCAUAUGUAGUUAUAGACAGACCUACUCUGUGACACCAUAGAGUACUCACUCAUUUAUUCAUUUGUCAUUCAUUCAAAUAAUCACCAUUCAGUUCUUUGAAGUAUUUAUUCUCUACCAGUUUCUGGCAGUCCUUUAUGCAUUAGGAAAGAACUGAUCUGUUUUUAUUUUCAGAUUUUAUUUUAAAAAUAUGUACUUUCAAUAGUAUUUGGAAGUUUAUACUUGCAAAGGAUUUGAGUGAAGUAGGAGAUAUUUUCUCUAGAACAUUGAAAGUGUCUGAAGACCCCUUGACCUUCUCCCACACUAGUGCCAAGACAAGAAAACAGGAUUUUUCUGCUCUCUUUGAGUUCUAGUCUCUAGGUACAAAGGAAUUAGAUCUCAGUUACUGGAAAGUUUGCAGAAUAGAGGAAUAGCCCAAUGUCUUUGAGACAUUUUAGGGCAAUGCCAGAAGUCCUGGAAGAAGCGAGCUAAAUAAAAGUUAUCUGGAUGCCCAAAGAGAGCAGAAGAUGGCUUGCUCAAAAUACCACUACUGAGUUUGGCUUCAGUCCCAGACAAGAUUCUAGACUAGAUUAUUAAAAAUAAUAACAAUAAAGUUUGGGAGACUUUUGGAAAAGCAGCAAUUACUGGCAUUCAGCCUGAGAUUUUAAAAACAAAGUAUGUCUGCUUGACCUUUUUCUUUCCUUGACAUUGUUUCUAGACUCGUUUAUGAAGAAAAUAUGAUAAGUACAAGGCCUGGGGCAUAAUAGAGACUCAAUCAAUAUUUGUUGACUGAAUGAAUAGGGCAUUUUGACAGGCUUUUGAUAAGAUCUUUCAUAAACUG